rnacentral:rRNA from 1 species
GAUCCAGGUUGAUUCUGCCAGUAGUCAUAUGCUUGUCUCAAAGAUUAAGCCAUGCAAGUCUAAGUUUAAGCACCUAAACGGCGAAACUGCGAAUGGCUCAUUAAAUCAGUUAUCGUAUAUUUGAUAGUACCUACUACAUGGAUAACCGUGGUAAUUCUAGAGCUAAUACAUGCUUAAAAUCCCGACUUCGGAAGGGAUGUAUUUAUUAGAUUAAAAACCAAUGCCCUUCGGGGCUCACUGGUGAUUCAUAAUAACUUCUCGAAUCGCAUGGCCUUGCGCCGGCGAUGGUUCAUUCAAAUUUCUGCCCUAUCAACUUUCGACGGCUGGGUCUUGGCCAGCCGUGGUUACAACGGGUAACGGAGGGUUAGGGCUUGACCCCGGAGAAGGAGCCUGAGAAACGGCUACUACAUCCAAGGAAGGCAGCAGGCGCGCAAAUUACCCAAUCCCGACUCGGGGAGGUAGUGACAAUAAAUACUGAUACAGGGCUCUUUUGGGUCUUGUAAUUGGAAUGAGUACAAUUUAAAUCCCUUAACGAGGAACAAUUGGAGGGCAAGUCUGGUGCCAGCAGCCGCGGUAAUUCCAGCUCCAAUAGCGUAUAUUAAAGUUGUUGCAGUUAAAAAGCUCGUAGUUGAACCUUGGGCCUGGCUGGCCGGUCUGCCUCACCGCAUGCACUGGUCCGGCCGGGCCUUUCCCUCUGGGGAGCCGCAUGCCCUUCACUGGGUGUGUCGGGGAACCAGGACUUUUACUGUGAAAAAAUUAGAGUGUUCAAAGCAGGCAUAUGCUCGAAUACAUUAGCAUGGAAUAAUAGAAUAGGACGUCGCGGUUCUAUUUUGUUGGUUUCUAGGACCGCCGUAAUGAUUAAUAGGGACAGUCGGGGGCAUCAGUAUUCAAUCGUCAGAGGUGAAAUUCUUGGAUCGAUUGAAGACUAACUACUGC